UGCACUUCAGCCUGGGUGACAGAGUGAGGCUCCGUCUCAAAAAAAAAAAAAGGUUUGACAUGUACAGUUAUGCAGGUUGUGCUCUGAGCAAAAGCACUUGGCUGAGGGGUGAAAGGUACCGUUGCAUAAUAUGGAAAAGAAAAGAUACCAUCUCGAAGAUUGUUGUUUUUAAAUGUUUUUCCUGACAGCAACUAGACUAUAAGAAGAGCCAACUUUGUUACUAUUGGGUUUAAUAUAUGAAACGUACAAUUAAAGUAACUCACUCCACAUUGUGUUUUGGUAGAGAGACACUGAAUUCCAGGAGCAUGAAAAGAUUCUGUCUCCGGAUUUUCUUUCAGUUGCCCAAAUCACUGAUUUGUUAAUGGAGGACAUCGAUGGAGUUCAAGAGUAAGCACUUCACUAUUACAAUCACAUGUAGAAGAACAGUUCGAGUUCUGCAUCUGUAAAUGAUUGUGAUUACAUGUAUAAGCUUUUUUCACAAUAUUUGUUAUGAUAUUAUGCACUGAAAAAUAUCUAGACUUCAAAACACAAAAAUUCUCAAGUAACUGACUUUUGGCACUACUCAACAGUCUCCUUUAUAAAGAAAAUACAUUGCAAACCAACUUACUAAUAUUUACCAAGAGCAGAGGUUUGUUGAUAAAAGCAGGCUAUAGCAUAUGCUGUCUUCUUUUCUCUUUCAUUCAUAAAACUGUCAAUAUGCACAUUAACUUAAAGAAUGUUCUCCCUCGUUGUAAGAAGAGUAAGUUGUGUUUUCUGUAAUUAUAAUGGGCAAUGCAUUUUAUUAUUUUGGAAAUCUUGAGUAUUUGCCAUCCACCUGUGAUUCUCAUCAGAAAUAAUGCUAUACUAAGUACUCUGAUUGUGUACAUGUUACUUAAAAAUGUGAAUACAAUGGAAUUUAUAGGCAGUAAUUCCAAUAUAUGUACAUCUCACUCUUUAGGCCAUUUAUUUCUAUAGUAGAUCAUCUAUUUAGAAUUUUUGUCAGAUACAUCCAACAACAUAAUAUCCUAAAAGGUGUUUUUAGUAAUCACCCAUUUAAAAAAUCAUCCCACUUAGAAUGGAAGCCUAAUUGGCCAUCGUGUGUAGAGAGUGGGGAUGAUGUCAUGCACUAGCAUCUUGGUGUCAGUUCUCUGCAGGCCAGUCCUUGGGACACAAACAGGGUGUCGUGGACCAUAACAGAC
rnacentral:lncRNA from 1 species